GGUCAAGCGAAUAAGCGCACACGGUGGAUGCCUUGGCGGUCAGAGGCGAUGAAGGACGUGGCAGCCUGCGAAAAGUAUCGGGGAGCUGGCAACAAGCUUUGAUCCGGUAAUGUCCGAAUGGGGAAACCCACCCGCUUGCGGGUAUCCUGCAGUGAAUACAUAGCUGCUGGAAGCGAACCUGGUGAACUGAAAUAUCUAAGUAACCAGAGGAAAAGAAAUCAACCGAGAUUCCGUAAGUAGCGACGAGCGAACGCGGACUAGCCCUUAAGCUGGAUUGGUUCUAGGAAAACGCUCUGGAAAGAGCGGCCAUAGAAGGUGAUAGCCCUGUAUCUGAAAGGGCCAUUCCAGUGAAGACGAGUAGGGCGGGGCACGUGAAACCCUGUCUGAACAUGGGGGGACCAUCCUCCAAGGCUAAAUACUACUGACCGACCGAUAGUGAACCAGUACCGUGAGGGAAAGGCGAAAAGAACCCCGGAGAGGGGAGUGAAAUAGAACCUGAAACCGUGUGCGUACAAGCAGUAGGAGCUCCGCAAGGAGUGACUGCGUACCUUUUGUAUAAUGGGUCAGCGACUUACUGUUCGUGGCAAGCUUAACCGUAUAGGGGAGGCGAAGGGAAACCGAGUCUGAUAAGGGCGCAUAGUCGCGGGCAGUAGACCCGAAACCGGGUGAUCUAGUCAUGCCCAGGGUGAAGGUGCGGUAACACGCACUGGAGGCCCGAACCCACUCCCGUUGCAAAGGUAGGGGAUGAGGUGUGAUUAGGAGUGAAAAGCUAAUCGAACCCGGAGAUAGCUGGUUCUCCUCGAAAGCUAUUUAGGUAGCGCCUCAUAUGUAUCCUCUCGGGGGUAGAGCACUGUUAUGGCUAGGGGGUCAUCGCGACUUACCAAACCAUUGCAAACUCCGAAUACCGAGACGGACUGUAUGGGAGACACACGGCGGGUGCUAACGUCCGUCGUGAAAAGGGAAACAACCCAGACCCACAGCUAAGGUCCCAAAUUUUGUGCUAAGUGGAAAACCAUGUGGAAAGGCACAGACAGCCAGGAGGUUGGCUUAGAAGCAGCCACCCUUUAAAGAAAGCGUAAUAGCUCACUGGUCGAGUCGGUCUGCGGGGAAGAUUUAACGGGGCUAAGCACAGAACCGAAGCUUGGGGUGCAUACUUUGUAUGCGCGGUAGAGGAGCGUUCCGUAAGCCGUUGAAGGUGGAUUGAGAAGUCUGCUGGAGGUAUCGGAAGUGCGAAUGCUGACAUGAGUAACGAUAAUGCGGGUGAAAAACCCGCACGCCGAAAGCCCAAGGUUUCCUUGCGCAACGUUAAUCGGCGCAGGGUGAGUCGGCCCCUAAGGCGAGGACGAAAGUCGUAGUCGAUGGGAAGCAGGUUAAUAUUCCUGCACCUCGCGUAAGUGCGAUGGAGGGACGGAGAAGGUUAGGUGUACCAGGCGUUGGUUGUCCUGGGGAAAGGCGGUAGGUUUGGAUCUUUGGCAAAUCCGGGAUCCUCUAAGACCGAGCACCGAGACGAGCCUUUAUGGCAAAGUCACUGAUACCACGCUUCCAGGAAAAGCUCCUAAGCUUCAGCUUACGCAGACCGUACCGUAAACCGACACAGGUGGGUAGGAUGAGAAUUCUCAGGCGCUUGAGAGAACUCGGGUGAAGGAACUAGGCAACAUGGCACCGUAACUUCGGGAGAAGGUGCACCCUUUUUGGUGGCUCGUGCGAGCUAUAGCUGAAGAGGGUCGCAGUAACCAGGCCGCUGCGACUGUUUAUCAAAAACACAGCACUCUGCAAACACGAAAGUGGACGUAUAGGGUGUGACGCCUGCCCGGUGCUGGAAGGUUAAUUGAUGGGGUCAGCCGCAAGGCGAAGCUCUUGAUCGAAGCCCCAGUAAACGGCGGCCGUAACUAUAACGGUCCUAAGGUAGCGAAAUUCCUUGUCGGGUAAGUUCCGACCUGCACGAAUGGCGUAACGACAGCGGCGCUGUCUCCACCCGAGACUCAGUGAAAUUGAAAUCGCUGUGAAGAUGCAGCGUUCCCGUGGCAAGACGGAAAGACCCCGUGAACCUUUACUAUAGCUUUACACUGAACGUUGAGUUCGUCUGUGUAGGAUAGGUGGGAGGCUAUGAAACUGUGGCGCCAGCUGCAGUGGAGCCAUCCUUGAAAUACCACCCUGUCGUGCUUGACGUUCUAACCUGGGCCCAUUAUCUGGGUCGGGGACCGUGUAUGGUGGGUAGUUUGACUGGGGCGGUCUCCUCCUAAAGAGUAACGGAGGAGCUCGAAGGUACGCUCAGCGCGGUCGGACAUCGCGCACUGUGUGCAAAGGCAUAAGCGUGCUUGACUGCAAGAUCGACGGAUCAAGCAGGUAGGAAACUAGGACUUAGUGAUCCGGUGGUUCUGUAUGGAAGGGCCAUCGCUCAACGGAUAAAAGGUACUCCGGGGAUAACAGGCUGAUACCGCCCAAGAGUUCAUAUCGACGGCGGUGUUUGGCACCUCGAUGUCGGCUCAUCACAUCCUGGGGCUGUAGUCGGUCCCAAGGGUAUGGCUGUUCGCCAUUUAAAGUGGUACGCGAGCUGGGUUCAGAACGUCGUGAGACAGUUCGGUCCCUAUCUGCCAUGGGCGUUGGAGAUUUGAGAGGGGCUGCUCCUAGUACGAGAGGACCGGAGUGGACGAACCUCUGGUGUUCCGGUUGUCACGCCAGUGGCAUUGCCGGGUAGCUAUGUUCGGAAGCGAUAACCGCUGAAAGCAUCUAAGCGGGAAGCGCGCCUCAAGAUGAGAUCUCCCGGGGCACAAGCCCCCUGAAGGAACCAUGUAGACUACGUGGUUGAUAGGUCAGGUGUGUAAGUACAGCAAUGUAUUGAGCUAACUGAUACUAAUGAUCCGUGCGGCUUGACCAU
rnacentral:rRNA from 1 species